rnacentral:rRNA from 1 species
AUUGAACGCUGGCGGUAGGCCUUACACCUGCAAGUCGAGCGAGCGGCGGACGGGUGAGUAAUGUAUGGGGACCUGCCCGAUAGCGGGGGAUAACUACUGGAAACGGUGGCUAAUACCGCAUACUAUCGGAUGAACCCCUAUGGGAUUAGCUAGUUUGUGGGUUAAAGGCUCACCUAGGCGACGAUCUCUAGCUGGUGUGAGAGGAUGAUCAGCCACACUGGGACGGAGACACGGCCCAGACUCCUACGGGAGGCAGCAGUGGGGAAUAUUGCACAAUGGGCGCAAGCCUGAUGCAGCCAUGCCGCGUGUAUGAAGAAGGCCUUAGGGUUGUAAAGUACUUUCAGCGGAGAAGCGUGACCCGCAGAAGAAGCACCGGCUAACUCCGUGCCAGCAGCCGCGGUAAUUC